ensembl:lncRNA
AUGGCGUGUAAAAGAAACCUGAGUUUUACUACUCCCGUGAGUAAUAGGGCUUUGCAACCAGCAGCAAGCCCACUGAGCAUAAAUUAUUUAAUGAAACAGCUGAUAUCCGGUCAGAACGCUUUGCCUCGUCAGCUUGAGGGUUUGAUGGAGAAGCAAGCUGCAAACACUGUUCUUCUCGAAGAUGCUAUCCAGCGUCUUUGUGCUCUUGAGCGAAAGUUUGACGAGCAAAGACUGCAAGAGGAACAAAGACCACGGGAAGAGCCAUUACAUAAAAGGAUAAAGAGGGCGCACAACGUGGGCAUUGCGGAAGCUGUAAGGCGCCUUCACAAUUCGGAAAACAACCCACAUAAAUAUGAUCCACAAACUGGAAUAAGUUCGCCUCGUAACCAAGCAGUCAUGACUUAUCUGCUAGAGGAAUUGAAAACAACUUUUGCAGAUGCAGACCCUGAGUGUAUACAAGGUAAUUUUAAAAUGUUUGUUUAACAAUUUUAAUGUCUAUAAUUUUAGUCUCUUAUAUUUUGUCCAUCUUAUGAUUUCAAUAGUGUAGUUUCCGUCACUUAUCUGAAUUUUCUUUUAUUCAGCGUGUUGCAAGACAUACUUUGAAACACUUUGGAGAAAGUACAAUUUGUCUCAGCCAGAAAAGUCCCAGCUAAGAGAUGCCAUUAAAACAUGAGCUAAAAACCGACAAAGGAAAAGACGGGUAAGUGUAGAAAUUCAUCAUCUUGUCUUUAAAGGGAUAGUUCACCCCAAAUUGAAAAUUCUGUUAUUUUCUUCUGAUAACCACAAAAGAAAAUAUUUUUAGGAAUGUUUGAAAUCAAACUGAUCAUGAGCUCCAAUCACUUCCAUAGUAUUUUUUUUUUCUACUUUAAAGUCAAUGGGGCUCAUGAUUGGUUGGAUUAUAAACAUUCCAUCUAAUGUGGUUAUCAGAACCAAGACAUUUACAGGUUUGUAACAACAUGAAAGUGAGUACAUUGACAGAAUUUUCAUUUUUGAGUGAACUAUUCCUUUAAGUUUGAUACAUUUUUGGGUGUUUUUAGUGGUUAACACAUUGUGUGUUUUGCAGUUGCUGGAUUCCAGGUCCAAGGUUGUUCAAACCGAUGCAGAGAGAGAGCUUUGGCAGACUGCAACAGUGGAGCUGAUGUCUGACGAGGAGGAUGCCAUUGUUGAUGGAAGGCCAGUGUGGAUUGUGAGGUCUCCAUCUCACAGGAACCCACAAUUGUCAGAACUUUGUGAGGAGCUUCAGCGCAGAUUGGAGGCAGACAUGCGCUACACUAUUUUGCAUCAUCAGCGUGUUAAGGCUGAUGGAAAUGGACAUGGACAUGAUGGACCUUCCUUUCUUCAACUUUAACUAAACUGCACUGGUUUUGCAAUUUUAAUAAUUGCACCACAAACUGCACAUUUUCACUUAUUCUCUUCUAUUUUAUCUUAUUCUUUGUAUACUUAUUAGGUUAGAUUUAUUUAGUUUUAUAUUCUCUAACUGUUAUAAUAUUGCUUGUGUUUAGUAAAAUUUUAUAAAAGUACUUUGCUUUGUGUACAUAUUAUUUUGUUUUAUAUUUUGUAACUGUUAUAAUAUUGCUUGUGUUUGGUUAAAUUUUUAUAAAAGUACUUUUUUUCCCCUGUACAGUUCCUAUAGU